rnacentral:rRNA from 1 species
AAAUUCCGCAUGUUAUUUGAACUAAAGAUUCAUCGGUAACGGAUGGGGAUGCGUGACAUUAGAUAGUAGGCGGGGUAACGGCCCACCUAGUCUACGAUGUCUAGGGGUCUGAGAGGAAGGUCCCCCCACACUGGAACUGAGACACGGUCCAGACUCCUACGGGAGGCAGCAGUGAGGAAUAUUGGUCAAUGGGCGAGAGCCUGAACCAGCCAAGUAGCGUGAAGGAAGACUGCCCUAUGGGUUGUAAACUUCUUUUGUUCGGGAAUAAAGUGCAGUAUGUAUACUGUUUGUAUGUACCGUUCGAAUAAGCAUCGGCUAAUUCCGUG